AGUGAACGCUGGCGGUAGGCCUAACACAUGCAAGUCGAACGGCAGCACAGUAAGAGCUUGCUCUUACGGGUGGCGAGUGGCGGACGGGUGAGGAAUACAUCGGAAUCUACUUUUUCGUGGGGGAUAACGUAGGGAAACUUACGCUAAUACCGCAUACGACCUACGGGUGAAAGCAGGGGAUCUUCGGACCUUGCGCGAUUGAAUGAGCCGAUGUCGGAUUAGCUAGUUGGCGGGGUAAAGGCCCACCAAGGCGACGAUCCGUAGCUGGUCUGAGAGGAUGAUCAGCCACACUAGAACUGAGAAACGGUCCAGACUCCUACGGGAGGCAGCAGUGGGGAAUAUUGGACAAUGGGCGCAAGCCUGAUCCAGCCAUACCGCGUGGGUGAAGAAGGCCUUCGGGUUGUAAAGCCCUCUUGUUGGGAGAGAAAAGCAGCAGGUUAAUACCCCGCUGUUCUGACGGUACCCAAAGAAUAAGCACCGGCUAACUUCGUG
rnacentral:rRNA from 1 species